GAGGGUAUAGCUCAAGCAGUAGAGGGCAAGUUUAGCAUGCCCGAGGUCCUGGGUUCAAUCCCCAGUACCUCCU
rnacentral:tRNA from 1 species